rnacentral:rRNA from 1 species
UACAGAGGUCCCAAGCGUUGUUCGGAUUCAUUGGGCGUAAAGGGUGCGUAGGCGGCUGCUCAAGUCGAAUGUGAAACCUCGAGGCUUAACCUCGAGCCUGCAUUCGAUACUGGGCGGCUAGAGUCUGGUAGGGGGAUCUGGAAUUCCUGGUGUAGCGGUGGAAUGCGCAGAUAUCAGGAGGAACACCGGUGGCGAAGGCGGGAUCCUGGGCCAGUACUGACGCUGAGGAGCGAAAGCGUGGGGAGCAAACAGG